UCCGCACAUCACGCCGCUAAAUGAACCCAACAAAUUAUCCACUGCCCCAAUGGCGCCCCUGCCUUUCUUCCCCACCGCUAUGCUCCCCUCUCCCCACGGACGCCUCCCAGCCUCUGCCGCCGCCCCGCGCGACGGACGCCAUCCCUCCCCUAUUUCCCUCUUCACCUCCACGGCCACGCCGCGUCGCCGCCCGAGCCCCACUGCGGUCGCUAUGAUCCGCCGCGCCGCCCCACACCCGAAGCUGCAGUCGAGAUGCAUCUGAGCGAGAACGAGGGGAUCGAGGGCGUGCGGUUCGCGGUGACUGGCGGGCAGGGCUUCGUCGGCGCCGCGCUAUGCCUAGAGUUGAUCCGCCGCGGCGCCCUGGAGGUCUGCUCUCUCGACGGCUCGACCUGCGCGAUUCCUCCUCUUGGUCCCAGUAGCUCCUCGAUGCCAGUGUCCGCUUCUUCCAAGGUUCUCUCCCUCACUCUCUUUUGCUUAAAUUACUGUGGUUUUUUUCUUCUGUCGCCAUGAGUGGGCGUGAGACUGCGUCGCAGGGAAGAAGGUAAUUUGUUUUUCUGUCCAAUGCAUUGAAGCUAUAAUGUACGUGCUUAGUAAAUUGUUUAGGGCGGUGUGAGACUUAUAAUGCCUGCCAAGUGCCAACUUAGUGAAUUGAUAAACCAGGAAUUUUGUGUUUUUUACUUCACUUGAUUUUGCACAAUUCAGUUAUGUGUCCACUGAAUGGAUUUGACAUGACAUUUCCUGCAGGCAAUGAGGGAAGUAGAUGGGCAUGGCUGAUCUGUUCGUCAUGCAGUUAUGUGCUAUCUUAUUCCUUGAUACUGAGUGUGAGCCCAUGCAUGUGCAAGCUAUAUGUACCCUUAAGCUAUUAGUGUUCUCUAACUUAUUUCCUACUAUUCCUGUAUGGUACCACUUUUUCCCUAGCAAGGAUAUGUGAGCCUAUUAACCUUAUGUUGUCUGUCAAUGUCAGAUUUAGAACCCAGCAAAGAAAUAUGGCAGAAAUUUGCAUAUUAACCUUUCUUGUGCAGGUUUGAGAUAUAAAUGUCACACAGAUGAUUCUUUGCCAUGAGUGUGUAAACUUAAUGAGGCAACAUGGUCUUCGGCACAAGAAAUACCCAUGGACGUGAGUGCGGGCUGCCGCUCCGGCCUCCACUCCUCUGCUUGACCACCGCUGCCACCACGUUGAGGCCCUCGCCACCAAGCGGCAUGCUUUCCCGUGAGCUAGCUUCUUCAACACAUGUUUCUCUGAAUUUCUACAAGCUAAAUUAGUACAUGCUUCUCUGAACGUUAGCCUGUAUUGGAUUCUUGUAUGUUAUGAUUUGCCCAAUCUGCUCUUCCUACACCCAUGGAUAGGGACAAAGGGCAGGUACACAAAUAGCUAAGAACACAAGGAGACGUGCAGGUCUGCGUUUCUGAGUUAUAUCUCUUUUAGCACCAGCGAUUAAAUGGUGUGUAGCUGGUCAGGCGUGCUUGCCUAAAAUGUACUUUAGUAGUUGCUAGAUCCAUGCUAGCUUCUAUGUUGUUCUUGCAGCCUCAGCUAGCUAAUUUUAUUUAAAGCAAAUGUUGUUCUAUCCUUCCAAUUACUGUUAUUCAGUUCUUCUUUUCUUUUUUCUGUUGUCGUUCACAGUACAAAUGUUAUGAGAAUUUCAUGAAUUUUGUCAUAUCUUUCUCCCAGUUACCUUAAUUUUGUAAAUUGUGGUCUAAUUCAAUUUUGAGUUUGUUUUCAGAAAAGCCUACUUUAAAGCUGUGUAAAUCCAUUAUUUCCUUUGAGUUUGCCAUGGAGGUGAGUUGGGAACCUUUUUUAUACUUGGUGGAUGCACUGAUGUAGUGACGGAGACUUGCCUGAAUGUUGUUUUCCUCAGCGCGAAGUGCUUACAAUUCUCAAAGGCGUCAACAAGUCCAGGAGGAGAUUGACAAGUUGGUUUGGUACCAUCAGCCGAUUGGCCAGUUGGAAAACCAGCGGGGAAAACAUGUACUGUGAGCUCCCCUCGCAUUCAGAGUUUAGAGCUUGAUGAACAAUGUUGUGUGAGCUUGUUGAUGAUCUGCUAUUUUUCACAAAAUUGGGACAUGUCGGAUGGUCGAUGUGAGGUUCUCUAAGUAAAAAAAAAAUCCUCAUUUGUCCAUUCUAAUAGUCUGAUGGAAUUUUGUUGAUAAGAACCUACAGUUUCUUGGGUAAGUUUGGGUUAGGAGUUCCGUAUAUAUGCGCCAAGAAAGUAUAUAGGGAAAUCAUGACAUGUUUUUUUUGCAGUGCCAACACUGAAAUGUAAAGUGUGUCAUGCAUGACUUUUAUAUGUGUUUUAGGAAUUGGAGGAUAGCUCUAUAAACAAAAUUCCUUAUUCUGCACUUCUCUGCUUUGCUUGGCAGGAAUUCUUGUUGUAAAGAGCGAAGGCAUGGUUUGGUUUGCAUGACAUUAUCUUCAAUUGGCUGGAGAUAUAUAAAUGUUGAUACUUGAUUUUCUCACCUGGCAUUUUAUCACUUCUGUGAAAGACACUCCAUUUUCUCAUAGUAAUAGUUCGUUAUUAUUGUUGAUACAUAAAUGGAUCUUUAUUGAAUGGUACUUGUAUGUGUGUAUGGAGAAUGGUGAUUAACCUUUUAAAUAAUCUAUUAUCCAACAAGGUGAUUCUAAUUUCUGAUUAGAUUAUACUAUAACAAUAUGAUUAGCAAAAUUUCAAACGGUUGUAUAUUUGACACAUAGUGCAAUGGGCCGAAGCCCGCCUGUAUAUUUUGUUCAAAUACUGAAAUUCAUUUACAGGGGAUUAUAAUCAUUUGGGCGCUAUGCAUUGAGAAAGUGUGCAUUUAGAUAAGAGACUAUAUAAUUAACGCAAAGAUGUGCGAUGUUUUUUUCAACAAGAAUGUUGAUCAUGAAGAAUGAUAAUCAAAUUAUUUGUAUGAGUCAAGAAAUGCACUUUGUAUGAAUUUUCAAAAAAUUCCAGAAAUUUAUGUAUAUUUCGUAAGAGUUUUUCAUGUUUGAUACGUGCGUUGCACGUGCACGCUUACUAGUGUGUAAAAAACCGAACAGAAACGAAGCAAUUCUCGACAAACAGAAAACGAAGAAAAACGAAGCUGAAAAAAAACACCCCAGUCUCCAUAAUAGUUAAAAAAUUCGAACUAGUGAGGCCGUCGGUUCAAAAUUUUACCGGUCAGACCGCCGGUUCACCGGUUCGAUGUCUAGUUUUUUAUAUAUACCAUAAAUAAUACAUUCCGUGUACUAGUGCCAUACUAAAUAGAUGUUAAAUACAAUCAUUUAAAUAAAAUUGAAAAGAAAAUUGGCCAGCCAAGAUGGUUUUGGGUCAAAGGUUUGAAUUCCUUUUGACGCAGGUUAUUUUCUAUUUUUUGUGUGGCACUGGUUCAACCGCCGGUUUUAUGCCUUGGGUUCAUGCAAAAACUAACCUGUUUACAUGGUUUUUCCGGUCCAAUUGCAGGUCGGUCUUUUUAGCUUUAAAACCUGAUAGGGACGCUGGUUCUGGUUUUUUUUCGGUCCGACCGCCGGUCUGGUCCGGUUUUUUAAACUAUGGUCUCGAUACCCAAAUCAACACGAGUGACCCGCCACCGGGGCGACAGCUUGCCGACGGCGCUGGAUUCCACGUUCUCCUCCGCCUCCCGCCCCAGCCAUCAUCGUUCCUCCGAGCCUCAGCCAUCUGCAAGCACGGUCAAUGACUCGUCACUGACCCUAAAUUCCUCAUCUGCUUCCGCGCCCGGCACCAGAAGCCACCCCUCCUUGGCGUCUUCGAGCGCAGCGCCAGCUAGUAUAUUAUGUAUCCAAUACUUUCAUCUGUUUUAAUCUUGCCAUUAAUUUUACCUUCGUAAUAAUAUAACUUUUCUUGAAUCCAAUAAUGCUUUUGUUACUUGAUGAUGAUCCUCUGCAAGUGACCAGUGCAUCUGUAGCACAAUAGAAAUAAUACCAGUCUCCAUUCUCCAAACUGAAUACCCAAUAGCACUUUCGUUGUGGUGAGGGAUGAGUUUACAUGAGAAAAAUUCUUUUGACAGCUAAAUAUUUCAUUAUGAGGUAUCUAUAUAUGCUGUUUAUUCUUUGCAUUUUACAGCAUACUCCUAUAUGAUUUUGUUUACUAUUGCUAGUAUCUAUAAAAAUUUAUUAUUAUUUUCAAGUUAUAUUGCCUUCUCUUAUCUUAUCUAUAAAAGGUUAGUUACAAAACAUCUAUGAGGAGUGAUUUAUUUUUCUCAAGUCAACACAUAUAUGAUAUAUGUGUAAUUGACUCAUUGUUCAUUUCUCUUGUCCAUUUGUCUUCUCCUCGGAACUGUUGUUAAUUGCCUGACUUCUUAUGCUUUAUAGGCACAACCAUUAAGUGUGGAUCUAAUGGAGCUAAAAUGUUGCAUGACUCAUAGGAUGAUUAACUCGUUUAUGUGCGAAUGUGCUGAAAUGGUUCAAAAGGCACAUCCAUUGGAUCUAAUGGAGAAAAUGAUGCGUGAAGAUAGAAGAUAAUUGUUUUCUUUGAUGUGCUAAUGUGCUGAAGUAAUUCAACAGAUGAAGGAAUGACCGAUGCAGUUCUCACCGGGUUUGUUCCAUUGCAUCAAUGUGGCCUGCACUAUUUAUAUGUUAUCUGAAAAGAAAAAACUUGUCAUGCUAGUCUAGCCCAAUUUCUACUGUAGCAAGAUGGUGCUUCUGAAUACCUAAUCCAGGGAAUUUCAGCUUACCCUAGUGUUAUUUGAAAUCAAAUUUCUUUCUUUAUAUGCUAGUGCUUGGAAGCUCCUCUCUUCGACAAUGUGUGGUUCAGGCCCAAGGAUCACCAAAACUUAUAUGUUUGUCAGUUUGUGUAUUCUUCUCGGUUCUUGUGCUUGGAUGCCAUUACAGUCGAUGUAUUUUGUACCGAUGGGAAU